rnacentral:rRNA from 1 species
UUAAAUUGAAGAGUUUGAUCAUGGCUCAGAUUGAACGCUGGCGGCAGGCCUAACACAUGCAAGUCGAACGGUAACAGGAAGCAGCUUGCUGCUUUGCUGACGAGUGGCGGACGGGUGAGUAAUGUCUGGGAAACUGCCUGAUGGAGGGGGAUAACUACUGGAAACGGUAGCUAAUACCGCAUAACGUCGCAAGACCAAAGAGGGGGACCUUCGGGCCUCUUGCCAUCGGAUGUGCCCAGAUGGGAUUAGCUAGUAGGUGGGGUAACGGCUCACCUAGGCGACGAUCCCUAGCUGGUCUGAGAGGAUGACCAGCCACACUGGAACUGAGACACGGUCCAGACUCCUACGGGAGGCAGCAGUGGGGAAUAUUGCACAAUGGGCGCAAGCCUGAUGCAGCCAUGCCGCGUGUAUGAAGAAGGCCUUCGGGUUGUAAAGUACUUUCAGCGGGGAGGAAGGGAGUAAAGUUAAUACCUUUGCUCAUUGACGUUACCCGCAGAAGAAGCACCGGCUAACUCCGUGCCAGCAGCCGCGGUAAUACGGAGGGUGCAAGCGUUAAUCGGAAUUACUGGGCGUAAAGCGCACGCAGGCGGUUUGUUAAGUCAGAUGUGAAAUCCCCGGGCUCAACCUGGGAACUGCAUCUGAUACUGGCAAGCUUGAGUCUCGUAGAGGGGGGUAGAAUUCCAGGUGUAGCGGUGAAAUGCGUAGAGAUCUGGAGGAAUACCGGUGGCGAAGGCGGCCCCCUGGACGAAGACUGACGCUCAGGUGCGAAAGCGUGGGGAGCAAACAGGAUUAGAUACCCUGGUAGUCCACGCCGUAAACGAUGUCGACUUGGAGGUUGUGCCCUUGAGGCGUGGCUUCCGGAGCUAACGCGUUAAGUCGACCGCCUGGGGAGUACGGCCGCAAGGUUAAAACUCAAAUGAAUUGACGGGGGCCCGCACAAGCGGUGGAGCAUGUGGUUUAAUUCGAUGCAACGCGAAGAACCUUACCUGGUCUUGACAUCCACAGAAGUUUUCAGAGAUGAGAAUGUGCCUUCGGGAACCGUGAGACAGGUGCUGCAUGGCUGUCGUCAGCUCGUGUUGUGAAAUGUUGGGUUAAGUCCCGCAACGAGCGCAACCCUUAUCCUUUGUUGCCAGCGGUCCGGCCGGGAACUCAAAGGAGACUGCCAGUGAUAAACUGGAGGAAGGUGGGGAUGACGUCAAGUCAUCAUGGCCCUUACGACCAGGGCUACACACGUGCUACAAUGGCGCAUACAAAGAGAAGCGACCUCGCGAGAGCAAGCGGACCUCAUAAAGUGCGUCGUAGUCCGGAUUGGAGUCUGCAACUCGACUCCAUGAAGUCGGAAUCGCUAGUAAUCGUGGAUCAGAAUGCCACGGUGAAUACGUUCCCGGGCCUUGUACACACCGCCCGUCACACCAUGGGAGUGGGUUGCAAAAGAAGUAGGUAGCUUAACCUUCGGGAGGGCGCUUACCACUUUGUGAUUCAUGACUGGGGUGAAGUCGUAACAAGGUAACCGUAGGGGAACCUGCGGUUGGAUCACCUCCUUACCUUAAAGAAGC